rnacentral:rRNA from 1 species
GAUGAAUGCUGGCGGCAGGCUUAACACAUGCAAGUCGAACGGUAGCACAGAGAGCUUGCUCUCGGGUGACGAGUGGCGGACGGGUGAGUAAUGUCUGGGAAACUGCCCGAUGGAGGGGGAUAACUACUGGAAACGGUAGCUAAUACCGCAUAACGUCGCAAGACCAAAGUGGGGGACCUUCGGGCCUCACACCAUCGGAUGUGCCCAGAUGGGAUUAGCUAGUAGGUGGGGUAAUGGCUCACCUAGGCGACGAUCCCUAGCUGGUCUGAGAGGAUGACCAGCCACACUGGAACUGAGACACGGUCCAGACUCCUACGGGAGGCAGCAGUGGGGAAUAUUGCACAAUGGGCGCAAGCCUGAUGCAGCCAUGCCGCGCGUAUGAAGAAGGCCUUCGGGUUGUAAAGUACUUUCAGCGGGGAGGAAGGCGGUGAAGUUAAUAGCUUCACCGAUUGACGUUACCCGCAGAAGAAGCACCGGCUAACUCCGUGCCAGCCGCCACAGUAA